rnacentral:rRNA from 1 species
CCCUACGGGAGGCAGCAGUCGGGAAUAUUGCGCAAUGGAGGAAACUCUGACGCAGUGACGCCGCGUAUAGGACGAAGGUCUUCGGAUUGUAAACUAUUGUCGUUAGGGAAGAGAAAGGACAGUACCUAAGGAGGAAGCUCCGGCUAACUACGUGCCAGCAGCCGCGGUAAUACGUAGGAUCCGAGCGUUAUCCGGAUUCAUUGGGUUUAAAGGGUGCGUAGGUUGUUUUAUAAGUUAGCGGUGAAAUACCGAUGCUCAACAUCGGGGCUGCCGCUAAUACUGUAGGACUAGAGAUCGGAUGCAGC